GAUGAACGCUGGCGGCGUGCCUAAUACAUGCAAGUCGAGCGAACGGACGAGAAGCUUGCUUCUCUGAUGUUAGCGGCGGACGGGUGAGUAACACGUGGAUAACCUACCUAUAAGACUGGGAUAACUUCGGGAAACCGUAGCUAAUACCGGAUAAUAUUUUGAACCGCAUGGUUCAAAAGUGAAAGACGGUCUUGCUGUCACUUAUAGAUGGAUCCGCGCUGCAUAAGCUAGUUGGUAAGGUAACGGCUUACCAAGGCAACGAUGCAUAGCCGACCUGAGAGGGUGAUCGGCCACACUGGAACUGAGACCCGGUCCAGACUCCUACGGGAGGCAGCAGUAGGGAAUCUUCCGCAAUGGUCGAAAGCCUGACGGAGCAACGCCGCGUGAGUGAUGAAGGUCUUCGGAUCGUAAAACUCUGUUAUUAGGGAAGAACAUAUGUGUAAGUAACUGUGCACAUCUUGACGGUACCUAAUCAGAAAGCCACGGCUAACUACGUG
rnacentral:rRNA from 1 species